rnacentral:rRNA from 1 species
GAUGAACGCUGGCGGCGUGCCUAAUACAUGCAAGUCGAACGGACUCUUAAUUUACCUUUUUAGUAAGACGCAUUCCUAAUGAGAGUACGUAUAUAAAUUUUACUAAGUUGUAAAAUACUUGAAAAUUUACUAUAUACGUGCUAGGCAUUAGGAUUAAAGUACAGAGUUAGUGGCGGACGGGUGAGUAACACGUUAGUACCUGCCCUUUAGUGGGGAAGUAACUCGGCGAAAGUACGAGCUAAUACCGCAUGAGAUCCUU